CGCCCCCUGGUGGGCGAAUGGCGCUUUCAUUUCAUGUGGGCAGGUUGGGAGCCAUCUUGUCAGGGAGCCAGGGUUAGGGCCGUGGUUUUCAGGCUGUUAGGGAUCUUUGGGGUGCCUCAGCUGGGCGGGCUUGUGGGGUGAGGGUGUGGCUGGGCGAGGCGGUUUCCCCGCACUUCUCCGCGCUGGUCAGGAUCUACCUGCGUUUUGUUUCCCGGGGCCCACGUGACACUAUCUGGACACAGGGUCCUGCCCUGGGAGAUGCCAGGGUAAGCAGAGCCCCGUAAAGUCAGCUCCGGAGGGUCCUGGGGUGAAGACAGUGUGGAGGGGGCGUGUUUCUGGGCCAUCAUCCCUCUGGCAGGCUGUUUGGGGACUGAGCCGUGUGGGUUUCUCUCCUGGGGUUCCGGCUGCCCUUCUCUCUCGGCCCCGUGGUCUUUUCCCCACACUUUCCUGAACCAGUUCUGGCCACUGCAGGUGGGCUCAGACCCAGGCCUGGCUUGUUGAGGACCGUCUUGCUGAGUUCAGGGUUCUUGCCUAUAACCUUUCACCCAGGGCCAUUCUGCCUGCUGGUUCUCUUCAGCUGGAGAGCACAUACUUAAUGUCACUUGUGCACAUCGAGCGCUUAGAGGAAGCAGUGUCUGUGGUCAGGUGGGCAAGGUUCCCCAGAGGCCAGGCCUGGAAGGGCCGGUGGGAACUGGAUGGUGGAGAUGGUGGAGUGGCAGGAGUGAGUCUAGGGAGGACGUGAACUUGGCCUUGGAUUUGAUUGAAGUGCCGUCAAAAAAGCACCGCCCUGGGGCUGGGAUCGUGGCUCAGCGGUAGAACACUAGCCUGGCCUGUGUGAGGCCCUGGGUUCGAUUCUCAGCACCGCGUUAAAUAAAAUAAAGGCCCAUCGACAACUAAAUAAUAUUAAAAAAAAAAAAAAAGCACCGCCCUUCAUGCUCCCUUGUGGUCCCCAGAGGGAACCUCCAGUCACGGCACAGCGUGGCACUAAGAUGCCACGGCAUCUCGGAUCGGUUCAGAACAGAGCCAGAGCGACUUCAGGUCUAGUGGCGUGGUAGCCCCAGAAUAUCGCCCUGCAGCUUGGCUUUCAUGACGGUAAUUUGAACGAGUUGCAAUGAUAAAAGCUUCUUUUGGAAUCGAAGUUGAAAAAAAAUGAGCUUAAAAUAGGAACUGAGCAGCCUGUGAGGGGACUGUGGGUGUGACAGAGCGAGGGGGCGCAUGAGGAGGGCCAGGCUGGAGAGUGCUGCUGCCCACAGCCGGUGCCGUUCAGAGGUUCUGCAUCUGCAAGGUGCUGACGGAGGUGGCCCGGGGAGACUCGUGACGCUGUGUGUGUGGGAUCUGCCAGAAUAAGGAUGGCAUGUGGCACGGUGGCCAGGAGAGAGUGGUCAGGGCUGGAGGGCCUUUUUGUAGGUGGUCAGAGAGUAAAUGCAGGCUCCGUGGUCUCUGUCCAUUUGCUUCGCUCAGCCGUGGUAGCAUGAAAGCAGGCCUGAGAUGACACAGAACCCAUGGGAGGGUGUGUGUGGGUGUGUGGGUGUGUGGGUGUGUGCUAAUGAGUUUGGAAGUGCAGAAGCAGGCGUUGGGCUGUGCAGGGCUGAAGCAUCGUGGGAUCUGGGGAAGUGAAAGGAAGAUCACUUGGGAGCCUGUGGCUGCUGCCAGUGGGGGACCUGAGCCGGGCGGUAAAGCCCCUUCUGGCGCAUUGAGGAUGGCAGAGGAGUGCUCACUGGUGCUUCCGGAAGGACAGGAGGCACUUGCACUCCUGGUCACGCCCAGUGCCUGGGGGAGAAGUCGCUAUGUCCUGCAAGGCCCAGAGAAGCCAACCCGGAGGCCCGAGUCACUUGGAGAGUGUUUGCCGAGCCAGGACUCAGGUGACCCCAGACCAAAGCACUGCUGUUGGAAGUCAGAAGUGGUAGUGUCGUGCGUGUGGGGCUCAGUCACAGGGACCGCAGACGCGGCCCUGGUCUUGGUGUGCGCCUCCUCCCGCUCCCCUGCUCCUUCUUCCUACGUGGCCUGCGUGGCUUGGUGUCCGGGUCCAGCCCUGAGCCACAGUCUUGCUCAGAGGACCCGGGCGCCCCGGCCGUUCUGUUUUCUCAGCGAGGCAUUGUGAUUCCUCACCUGCACCCGAGCCUCGGCGCAGCUGGAGGAAGUUCCCCAGGACCACAGAUCUGUCCCAUGGCCCGUUUAAUCUUGACCGCUGGCCUCAGAAGCACAGCUCCUCAUCCGCCCCAUCCUCCCUCCAAACCCCUUUCAUCAGCCCCCCUUCCGCCCUGCACAGGCCACCUCGUUCCCUGCUCCCUCUCAGACCCCACUUGUCCUUCCUGCUGCCCCCCGUGUGACAUGGGGGACACACUCUGCCUUUCCCUCCUGGCCACCUUCAGCGUCUGACCGCUUCUUGCUUCUUGUCCUUUGUCAUAGCCAGAUUUUCCGCUCAGCUGCCUCCUUCCCUAGGCGGUUAAAUACGCUUCUCUCUCUCUCUCCGUGCUCCCUCCUCCACCGCCCGCGUUGCCGAUGGAAUGUUGUACCCUGAAGGCCGUGUCUGCACUGUGCACACUGGUGGCCACUAAUCCCUGUGGCUGUGGGACCCUCAAGCUGUGACUAGGAGUGGAGUUUCAUAUAUUUUACUUUAGUUGACUUAACAGUAGCUCUGCCAGGUACAGUGAUCCACACCUGUGAAUCCCAGCAACUCGGAGGCUGAGGCAGGAGGAUCACAAGUUCAAGGCCAGCUUCAAAAUUUAGCAAGGCCCUAAGCAACUUAGUGAAACCUGGUCUCAAAAUAGAAAAGGGCUGGGGGUGUGACUCAUAGGACUUCCAUGUCUACAGGGGCCUUCCCCCAGGUGUUUUUUUGUGAAGAUUGGGACUACACUGAAGGAGAUGUGGUCCCCCGUUUUACGGCUUGGAAAGAGACUGGGCAAGGGCAGCAGGGGUGUGGCUCCACUGUGGAGCACUUGCCCUGUAUGCAUGAGGACCUGGGUUCUGUCCCCAGCCCCACCAACACCCUCACCCCCCAAUUUUUUUUAAUUUUAAUUUUAAAAUUUAAAAAAAAAGUAUUUUGGCAGAGGAGGAGUACUAACCAGAGGGUUCAUUGUCAAAAUGGAAGGACAGGAGUACUUGGCGCCAGGGCACUGGUGACAUCUGCGUGUUGAGCAGCAGGGCCAUGGGCCGUGGCCCUGUGGGAUUGCAGACCUGAGCGCGCUCAUUUCUUCCCAAAGCCACGUGUGCUGAGGAGUUGUAUCAGAGCAGCAAGACUCUCAUCUCCAGCCCCCUCACCCAUCUGGCUAGCUGGUCAGUGCAUGGGAGAUGUGCAGGAGGUGGACCGUGCAGGAGGUGGACCGUGCAGGGGGCACCUGAGCUGUCUCCAGUACCUGUGCGGGGGUGGGGGGGGACUGAGGAGUCCCUGUGGAAGGAGAGGUUUAAGUAGGGGCAUGAGCUCCCUUGGUAGGUGGCAUAGGCCUCCCCUGUUCAUAUUUUUCUUUUUUUUAAAUAGAUAUUUUUUAGUUGUAGGUGGACACAAUGAUUUUUAUGUGGUGCUGAGGCUCGAACCCAGUGCCUCACGCAUGCUAGGCGAGCGCUCUACCACUGAGCCACGACCCCAGCCCCUCUCCUGUUCAUCUUUUAAGACGUCACCCGAGCCUGGUGCUGUGGCGUAGGCCUGUAAUCCCAGUGACUUGGAAGGAGGAGGCAGGAGGAUCACAAGUUCAAGGACAGCUUCAGCAACUUAGUGAGACCAUGUCUCUCAAUACAAAAAAAAAAGAUUUUACCUAAAGCAGCUGCUCGGGCCGACAGAGGGGAA